rnacentral:misc_RNA from 1 species
GAUGAAGAACGUAGCAAAAUGCGAUAAGUAAUGUGAAUUGCAGAAUUCAGUGAAUCAUCGAAUCUUUGAUCGCACAUUGCGCCCGCCAGUAUUCUGGCGGGCAUGCCUGUUCGAGCGUCAUUUCAACCCUCAAGCACAGCUUGGUGUUGGGACUCGCGUUAAUUCGCGUUCCUCAAAUUGAUUGGCGGUCACGUCGAGCUUCCAUAGCGUAGUAGUAAAACCCUCGUUACUGGUAAUCGUCGCGGCCACGCCGUUAAACCCCAACUUCUGAAUGUUGACCUCGGAUCAGGUAGGAAUACCCGCUGAACUUAAGCAUAUCAAUAAGCGGAGGA